rnacentral:rRNA from 1 species
AACGCUAGCUACAGGCUUAACACAUGCAAGUCGAGGGGCAGCAUGAUUGAAGCUUGCUUCAAUUGAUGGCGACCGGCGCACGGGUGAGUAACACGUAUCCAACCUUCCGUACACUCAGGAAUAGCCUUUCGAAAGAAAGAUUAAUACCUGAUGGUAUGAUGAGAUUGCAUGAAAUCAUCAUUAAAGAUUCAUCGGUGUACGAUGGGGAUGCGUUCCAUUAGAUAGUAGGCGGGGUAACGGCCCACCUAGUCGACGAUGGAUAGGGGUUCUGAGAGGAAGGUCCCCCACAUUGGAACUGAGACACGGUCCAAACUCCUACGGGAGGCAGCAGUGAGGAAUAUUGAUCAAUGGGCGCGAGCCUGAACCAGCCAAGUAGCGUGAAGGAUGAAGGUCCUACGGAUUGUAAACUUCUUUUAUAAGGGAAUAAAGUCACCUACGUGUAGGUGUUUGUAUGUACCUUAUGAAUAAGCAUCGGCUAACUCCGUGCCAGCAGCCGCGGUAAUACGGAGGAUGCGAGCGUUAUCCGGAUUUAUUGGGUUUAAAGGGAGCGUAGACGGGUCGUUAAGUCAGCUGUGAAAGUUUGAGGCUCAACCUUAAAAUUGCAGUUGAUACUGGCGUCCUUGAGUACGGUUGAGGCAGGCGGAAUUCGUGGUGUAGCGGUGAAAUGCUUAGAUAUCACGAAGAACUCCGAUUG